ACUGCCGGCUAAAAGUACGGAGGAAGGUGGGGAGUGACGUCAAAUCAUCAUGCCCUUAUGACCUGGGCUACACACGUGCUACAAUGGCGGUACAAAGGGUCGCGAACCCGCGAGGGGGAGCCAAUCCCAAAAAGCCGCUCUCAGUUCGGAUUGCAGGCUGCAACUCGCCUGCAUGAAGCCGGAAUCGCUAGUAAUCGCGGAUCAGCAUGCCGCGGUGAAUACGUUCCCGGGCCUU
rnacentral:rRNA from 1 species